UACGUAGGGGCAAGCGUUAUCCGGAAUCAUUGGGCGUAAAGCGCGUGUAGGCGGUUCCGUAAGUCGCUCUGAAAGCCCAGGGCUCAACCCUGGGAGGCGGGGUGGAUACUACGGAACUGGAGUACGGAAGAGGAGAUUGGAAUUCCGUGGUGUAGCGGUGGAAAUGCGCAGGAUAUCAGGAGGAACACCAACAGCGAAGGCAGAUCUCUGGGACGUUACUGACGCUGAGACGCGAAAGCGUGGGGAGCAAACAGG
rnacentral:rRNA from 1 species